rnacentral:rRNA from 1 species
UCGGGAAUUUUGGGCAAUGGGCGAAAGCCUGACCCAGCAACGCCGCGUGAGGGAAGAAGUAUUUCGGUAUGUAAACCUCGAAAGAAUGGGAAGAAUAAAUGACGGUACCAUUUAUAAGCUCCGGCUAACUACGUGCCAGCAGCCGCGGUAAUACGUAGGGAGCAAGCGUUGUUCGGAUUUACUGGGCGUAAAGGGCGCGUAGGCGGCGCGGUAAGUCACUUGUGAAAUCUCUGAGCUUAACUCAGAACGGCCAAGUGAUACUGCUGUGCUAGAGUGCGGAAGAGGCAACCGGAAUUCUUGGUGUAGCUGUGAAAUGCGUAGAUAUCAAGAGGAACACCUGAGGCGAAGGCGGGUUGCUGAGCCGACACUGACGCUGAUGCGCGAAAGCCAGGGG